rnacentral:rRNA from 1 species
UGUGUAGGCGGUUCUUUAAGUUUGUUGUGAAAUCUCCCGGCUUAACCGGGAGGGUGCGGCGAAUACUGAGGGACUAGAGUACGGGAGAGGAAAGUGGAAUUCCUGGUGUAGCGGUGAAAUGCGUAGAUAUCAGGAGGAACACCGGUGGUGUAGACGGCUUUCUGGACCGACACUGACGCUGAGACACGAAAGCGUGGGUAGCAAACAGGAUUAGAUACCCUGGUAGUCCACGCCCUAAACGAUGCAUAUUUGGUGUGGGCAGUUCAUUCUGUCCGUGCCCGGAGCUAACGCGUUAAAUAUGCCGCCUGGGGAUACAGUCGCAAGGCUGAA